ACAGAUGUGGAGCUGGGAAUUUCCCUGAGCUGUUCCUGUGAGAGGUUUGUUCAUUCAGAUUGUGUUUGAUGACGACGAACUGGGAAGAAACUACCCUGAAUUGGUUAUGAACUGAGUGGAGCAGCAGUGCUGGAAAAUGUGCAAGUCUGAGGGGUGUCUCCAGGGCAGCUGUGGCCAAACUGUAUUGAAGACAGUUCCUAAGACAACUUGUUUGACAGUGCUGUGUCUGGGCACUAUGACGGAGCGUGCUAGUUGUUGUGGACCAAUGUGAAGGACAACAAUGCUAACAAAUACUUUGGAUGAUACCAGGGAAUAUUCAUAUAAUCUAGUCUGGAAAUUCCUUUUAAGAAUCAGGAGACAGAUAAAAGCAGGUAUCACAGCUGUCUUGAGUGUAGUGAGAAGGAGGAAAAGGACCUCUGUGAGAAGCCUGACAGUUUGCUGCAAAGAAUUUGGUACUAAGCUGUGAGCACAAACUUCCCACAGGCAAUGACAAGCGAAAACGUGGACUGGGUUGCUGAACAAGCAGGAGAUGGUGAGAGGACAAAUGAGAUUAGGAGAAUGGCCCUCUGACCUUCAGAAAGAAAGAGCUGUCAUUUCCAGAAGCAUCUUGCUUUUCUAUCAACUUUCAAGAAAAACAUGAAUACAGGUAUAGUGUCUUUUGAAGAAAUACAAAUACAGAAUAAUGGGGAGUAAUUGAAUACUGAGCCAAUCCAGUUGAAAACAUUUGUUAGCAAGUCAGUCAAUAAAAUGUUUCACACACUUCCAUUUGAAGAGCUUCUCAUUUUGUGUGUUAUACACUGUUUUGCUUAGACAAUACUACAUAUAAUGCCUUUAAUCUUUAACAUAAUGAGGACCUUAAUGGAGAAGGAAUCCUAAAGUCCCCCAAAGUUACAUUUGAAAAUAAUUCAAGCUUCUAAGUCAUUUAUGAACUUUAAAUAAUUUGGGGGGAAUCUUUCUUCAUUUGAGUGCAAUUAAUUUGUCAGAUUUGAUGGCCUGAUACUCGUGGUUAGUUUUCAGCAGUAUAUUAGGAGUUCAGAAUAGUGUGUCUGAUCUGACUAUAUUUGUAUAUUAAGAAACCAUACAUUUAUGCUGCAUAUGAUGUGAAAUUAGCAGGUGUAUGCUGUGUUGUAAAUCCUUGCUUAUUUAGCACUAAGAACUUUUAAUGGACAAUGAAGAGCCCCAUUUCAAAUACCGCUUUACUUAUCAGUACCUGCUACAUAGAAACUGAUGGGAUUUUACUUACGCAGAUUUCUUUCUGUUAAACAUAAUUUUGUAAUUGUCAAAGGUUCCCUCCUCAUUCUGAAAACAGCCAUGAGCAUUCGCUCACACAAAGAAGCGCAAGGUAAAUGCAUAAGAAAUGCAGGAAUUUGCAUGGAAAGGAACAAAAUGAGAAUGUAGCCCAGAGCUUUUAGGUCAGCACCCAGUCCACUAAUUCAGUCUGAUUCAGGUUGGUUUGCUGCUGUAUUUCCUCCUCUUCCUCACUACUCUUAUUACAUUUUAUGCUGUUGCAGGAGAGACAGAUAUUAUUAUGUCAUAGAGAUACAUAUAGUAUUUUUUUAUUCAUGUUUAUGCCUGUGCAAUAUAAAGGAGCACAAAAUAAUUCUCUGGAAUGCUACAGUUGUUGGCCAUUUUGUUGUAUUUUGUUCUGUUCAGUGGCCUGAAUCAGCCAUCAACCUUAGUUCUGCUCUUAAAAGGAAAAUUAUGUUCCUUUUACAGGAUUAAAAAGACUUCCUGAGUCUCCCUGUAAAACUGCAGUGUAAAACUUGUUUUGAACAAAAUAGAGCUGACUUCAUUGACUACAGCAGAAUAAUUUGCAGUCAGAAUUGAAUUGUGCUCUUAAAAAUCUAAUUUUAACAAGGUUUUCAGAAAUAGGCUGCAGUAGCUUGAUUUUUGUUCUACAUGUAUUUUGAGUUUGAGAGAAAACUUAACCUUAAUAUGUUAAUGAAGUUGUAGCAUAUGGAUAUGGAAUAUAAAUGUACUUUUGUGAAAACACAAUUUAAAUUGCUUUGUCAAACCA